CAAGAUGGCGGCUCGACUCAAACACGGAAUUAGACCUAAAGUGCUUGGCUGGAAACUUUCAGUAACAACCGAGGGGAAAGAGGAGGACGCCUUCGUAGAUGGAGUUUUAAAGAGUUCGACCGCCUCUCUGAAACUGUAUUUCGGAAACAGGAGGCUUCUGUGGCAAACAAGGACUGCCAUAAAAUCGUAGACCUGUGGCCGGUGAUCGAGCGUUCGAUAAAAAGAACACACGACGGUAUUCAUCGCCCUAUUAUCGCUGCUUUAGCAGAGAAAUCCCGAGAGAAGUUCGAAGUCAUGAAAACAAGCACGACCAAACUGGGGAUUGGGAGCAAUUCAAGCACCACUUGAAGAAGAACCAAGAAGAGAGGAGGAGCAAAAUAAUGAGGAGGAGAGGUCACGCAGGCCACGAGUGUUGACAGAAGGACAAAGAGCUCGGAAGAGAGCGCGUGACCUUGUACUCACCGAGGAGCAAAGAGUGCGAAAAAGACAGACGAGCUCCGAGUACAGGUUAAGUGGUAAGCAAAGAGUCCGGAAAAAGCAAAAGGACUCGGAGUACGAACUAGAUGACAAGCAGAGAGCUCGUAAAGAGGCAGAGAAACUUAGAAACGCUCAACGCCCAGCGUACAAUGAUGGCAGAAGACAGCUUGUUUGCUCAAAGGCAAAGAGAAAGGGCUCGUGAGCGACAGAGGGUGUCUAGACUCAGGAGAAAACAACAAAGGCAGCCCUCCACUACUACCGCUUUUGUUGCAAGACAAACUCAAAAACUUGAGAAUACAGCUCAUGGAAAUGGCCUGAAUGGAAGAAAAUUAAACUCGGUGGAAUCGUACUCAUCUUUGCUGAGUAAUUAUUUAUUGAUUUCUGACUUAUAUAACAAAGCUUUAUUGUCAAUGUAGUGAAAUAUUGGUGGCCCCGUGGCAUCUUGUCAUAGAAUGUCUAUUUCAAUCUCAUCCUCGCUGUCUUCCUUUGGUGCCGAUGCCUUUAGGGUUAUCACCUAAAAGAGCCAAACAAGACAAGACAAAUUACCUAUUUGAAGUCAACAAGUGUUUAUAUUCCAGGACCCAUAACAAACUGUACCCACAAAGGUGGCAAACACAUUGGGGUUCAGGCAAGCUGGGGAUUAGUUCCUACUUUCCAGGCUGGGGUAAAAAAAGAGAUCACAACAUUGGAAAAAACAGAAAAGAGUGAAUUCGGUAGUGGUAAAACUGUUAGGAUAUAGGCCUUAGAAAAUGUCAAUAGACUCCCUACAAUAUAAACUAAUUUGUCCUCCCAGAAAAAAAAUAAUAGUUCAUAUUGACAGGAAUAUUAUUUAAAUGAUAUAAGGAAGUUGGUUAGUUAGAAGUUGCACAAAGUCAUUGUUUACUUUUAUUACAUACCUCCUCUUUUUGAAAGAGGCCACUUCUCUUCUCCUUCUCCAUCUGGCGAUGCACACGACCUAGUACUCCUUUUGGUUUCUUGGAUUUCUUAGAAAUACGCUUCGUACUUAGUGGCUGGCGUGACCUCUGUUAACACAAUAUAAAAAAAAAAACAUUACUACUUUUAACAAUGCUAUGUAAUGGGUCCCCAACAUGACCCAUGUCCUUUUUUGUCAAUGAGUUCCAAGGUUGUUAUUAUCACUUAAUUUGCUGCAAAACAUGCAUUCAAAAUUCCUGCCAAAAAUCCACUCAACCAAUCAGAACCAACACAAGCACAAAUCCGCAGGAAACCCCCACGACCAUGGGAACUUUUUCACAUAGUUUAUCAGUCUCUAUACCUAUUAAUGGUGCCUUGUUUGCACCGUGUAGUAGCUACAGUACCUGCGCUAUAAUCACAGUAAGUAGGUUGUUUGGAAAUUCUUACCUUAGAAUGCUUUCUGUGUGUUAGACUUGUACUUGAAUUCCGACUGCACUUACUUCUUCUUAACGCUACACCAUCAAAGAACAGUAAGAGAAUAUUUAAUUGCUAGUGCAUAUUCAGUGUAAAGUUAGAAAUACAAUACUCCAACCAUUGUUCUCAUGGCAACAUCAAUUUCUUUAAGUUGAUGGGCAAUAAAAAAAGUUUACUUAUUAGGAGUUACAUAUACGUACUGUAAGCAGGGGUUUCAUUAAGUUUCAGUGUAGGCGGUGGAGAUUGAUAAGUAGGGGGUAGAAGUUAUUUUAUUUUAUAACUUCAAAUACAACUUAAUUAAAUUUUCUAUUACAGUAGCAGACGCUCUGUGCAAAAUAGCUGGCAGAUCAGCAGUCCUCUCCGGGGCCUCUCAAGUGGACUGUCUGAAGGUGGGAUUUGUUUUGUAUUUUCUAGCCCUGGACAAAACAUGUCACAACAGCUUGGGGCUACUCACCAGAGCAACGAUUACAAUCAUUUACAUUCAACCUCUGACAAACAUAUUGUUGAAUUCUCUGGAAUUUGCUAUCGUUAAAAGCAUCAAGAUCUGCAAAGAACAAAAAACAAUUAUAAACAUGAUAGGUGAAUGCUGAAUUAGCAACCACAUCAGUGCAGAUUUUGCCCACUAGCACAAAAGAAAUAUUUUUCAUCAUCUAUAGAAUGUACACAACUUUCAAUGCAAUAUGGAUAAAAUAGAAUUGACUUUUUCCAUCAAUUUUGAAUGCCUAUAUAUAACAACAGUCUUGUUCUUACCUAUAACGAACUCUGUGUCUGUGGGAAGCACCCUAGCACUUGGGCUGAUGAUUCUAAUGAUCUCUAACUGGUCAUGCAAACCUAAGGUUGUCGAGGCCAAUCUUGUGAGGUACUCUAUGGCUUCCAUUUGGUCAUCAGAUGUCAUAUCAUUCCUAUAGAGACAGACAGAAAUGGACACAGCUUUUGAUUGUGAAAGCCAGUCAAGAGGCAGGGCCCUGCCAUCUUAAACUCACCUCUGUCUUUGGAAAAGGAUCAAAGUCUUCAUCAUUUAUGUCUAUAAAGCUGUCAUCUGAGAUCUCCGAAGUCACAGACGUCCCACAUGAUGUUGUUGCCGAUAUCGAUUCACUGUAUAUAAAAUCCCUCUCUGAAAACCCUUGCUCACUAAAACAAAUAGGAGUGACAUAGUAAGUUUGGCGAGCACCCUUUAUACCCGAAUACAUGGUCCCACCACGAGGUCUGGUGAAUACAUGGUCCCACCACGAGGUCUGGUGAAUACAUGGUCCCACCACGAGGUCUGGUGAAUACAUGGUCCCACCACGAGGUCUGGUGAAUACAUGGUCCCACCACGAGGUCUGGUGAAUACAUGGUCCCACCACGAGGUCUGGUGAAUACAUGGUCCCACCACGAGGUCUGGUGAAUACAUGGUCCCACCACGAGGUCUGGUGAAUAUAGGUCCCUCCCAGUUCAGUGCCUACACCAAGCAUCGCAUAUACAAGUAGCACAUACAGUAUACUAUUUUAUUCUCAACCCACAAAGUAAUAACACCUAUUAGAAAAUAACACCAGUGAGUCUCAUGUGCUGAUUGGUCGAGAGCUUCAAAUGAGCAUGUCUGUAAAAAACAGUACAGACACGCUUUUGAUUGCAAAUAAUACAACACCUCCGCCUUGUGACUUUCAAGUUUUUUAUCAAUUCUCCCAACGCCGCAGACACGCUUUUGACGGCAAAUAACGCAACACCUCCGCCUUGUGACUUUCAAGUUUUUUAUUAAUUUUCCCAACAUCCGCCGUGUGUCUGUAAAAACCUAGACAGACACUGGAUAUACGUUUUAUUGCUUAACUUUAGUAUGCAUAUGGGUUAAAUUACUGUAACCAUACUUUCAAGAUACUUUUGUGAGAUG